AGCAGCAGUAUGCGAGAUACAAAUGUACGAGAAAAAGCGAAUAGAAGGGCAAAGCGAAAGCGAAAAUUGCUCACGAGGAAAAAAGAGUGAAGAAUUGUCAUGUAGAAAGUGUCGGUAAGCGAUUUUAUUCGUUCGAGAUGACAAGAAAUGCUUGAUUAGCUUGUCUAACGAAAAAUUAAUCAAACAGUAACUUCCUUGACGACCUUUUUAAUAACAAGCAUACAGUAGAGACAAGAGUAAAAUGGUCAUAAAACAAAGAUGAAUUGAAAACAUGAAUGGGUGUAAAAACAUUGAAAAC